CAUACAUUUAUGUCGACGUGUGUGCGUGCGCUUGUGCGCGUGUGUGCGUAUGUGUGUGUGUGUGUGCGUAUGUGUGUGUGUGUGUGUGUGUGUGCGUGUGUCCUUUGUUUUACGCUGCUAGAACGGAGGCUGGACAUCCUACUAAGUAGAGUCUUUGAUUGAUUCUUCCAUAGGCACAAGACCUAGGGAGGGGGGAAGAGUUCGAUCGAUUACAUCGAUCGCAGGACUUGACUGAUACUUUAUUUUAUCGGACGAUCCUGGACGGAUAAAAGGCGAAGUUGAGCUCGUUCGUGAUUUGAACCCAGAACGUAAAGAUCCGUAACUAAAUGCCGCAAGGCAUUUUGUUCGACACAAGAAGAUAAGUUAAAAGGUGGGAAAAAUAUAUUUCUCAAUAAUUUGUUGCUAUCGAUCUAUAUAUCUUCGUGUGUUGUCGUUGCUCUUGUUAAUAUUGUUUUGUAGUGGUUUAGCCCCAGGACAGGAGAGCCUUGACGGAGCGCACCAAUAAUCAAAGGUUUUCCAAGCAUAACCAUCCCAACUCCAGCACCCUCAUCAUCAUCAUCAUCACCACUACCAUCAUCAUCAUCAACAUCAUCAUCAUCAUCAUCAUCACCACCAUCAUCAUCAUCAUCAUCAUCAUCAUUAUCAUCAUCACCACCACCACCACCACCAUCAUCAUCAACAUCAUCAUCGUCAUCAUCAUCACCCUCAUCAUCAUCAUCAGUACCGUCGUCUGUCAUCGUUGUCAUCCUCUUGAUCAUCAUCAUCAUCAUUGUCAUCGUCGUCGUCGUUGUCGUCAUCAAUGUCAUCAUCAACAUCAUUGUAAUAAUCAUUGUCAUCAUUUUAUUAUUAUCAUUAUUAUUAUUAUUAUUAUUAUUAUUAUUAUUAAUGCACCACUAACCAUGGUUCACUCCUCUUGAAUUUAAAACAGUAUGGUAUGAUUUUAGUGGAGGUUUAGCUGCUAUUGCUAGUUAACGGCGUAACCACAUUGAGACUCCCAUCACUGGGCCGUCAUACGUCCAAUAAUGUUGAUGUCGUUGUGGCUGUUGUAUAGUCCAUGAUCGGCCUCGAUCGUGUAGGACCUACUAUCAAAGUCAUUCCAGCCGUGACCUUACCGUCUUUUAGCUAUAUACAAAACGCAGGAUCACCUUAUCCAACAUGUUUCUUUCCAUGGGACAGUAUGGUGUGAGUUGAGGAAGAUUUAACUGCUAUUUCUAGCAAAUUGAUCGCAUGACCACACCAAGGCCUCCUUCUAUUGAUUCGUCAUUCGUCAAAUCGCUAAAGGUGGUAUUUGUGAAAAAUCACCUCCAACGCCACCAGUCCUACCUUUUCCCUUAGAUUUAUCCUUUAAAAUGUGUUUUAGCUUUGAUUUUUUUAUUCUUUUAUUUAGUAGUUAGUUGUUGACUCCAUGAGAUGAAUAUUAGCAGAUACAUUUGUCAAAGUUAAACCGUAUACGCCCCCUAGUGGUUAGGACAGAUAUUUCAAUUGUAUACGCCCUCUGGUGGACGGAAUAUCAUCAUUAUUUCUAUGAGUAGUGGUGCAAUAACGCCACUAAAUACAAUGCUGCGACUUGUUGCACGUUAAAAAAAAAUUACGGAGGAGAUUGAAGCUUGGCCCCGGGAUAAAAACUGUGUAGAAGGAUCAAAGGAAACGGUAAAAACACUAAAUAUUUCUCAUAGUAAGAUGUGAACUCGUUUGCUUCUUCAGGAAAGGCUCUCUACAAAUUCUACAACUAAAAUAUUAAACACACACACACAAACACCUAUAUACAUACAUACAUACAUACAUAAAUCAGUAAUAACAAAGGGUGAAAUUAAUUAAUUAAGAAGUAAUUAGUAAUUUCACCAAGUAGAAUUCGGCAUGAAAAAAGACCAUUUUAUGGUAAGUUUAAGUAAUACUAUAUAAUUAGGGUUCACAUACAUACAUACAUAUAUAUACACACACACACACACACACAUACAUAUAUAUAUAUAUAUAUAUAUAUACGUACAUACUUACAUACAUACACGUACAUACUUACAUACAUACACACAUACAUUUAUACAUACGUACACACAUACAUGUAUAUAUACAUACACACAUACAUAUACAUAUAUACAUGCAUACACUCACACGUAUGUAUAACUUUUAAUGAUUUAUAAGUAUUUUUCUCUCGUUCGAUAUUUUAAAACUUCAAGCACACACACACACACGCCACGCACAUGCGCACACACACACACGACGCAUACGCGUACACAUGCAUAAUUUAUUUUUAAUUUGAAUUAAGAAAACCAACGUAGGACUGACUCUCUCUCUCUCUCUCUCUCACUCUCUCUCUCUCUCUCUCUCUCUCUCUCUCUCUCUCUCUCUCUCUCUCUCUCUGUUCAAUUUAGAAUUUUAACAGAAUGCGAGGGAUGGUGAAGUUGACUAGAGAAAAAAAGCAAAAAGAUAUGUUUGGUUAGCAAUCAGUAUUGUUCGUUAACUUCGAAAUAUUCACUAGAUUAAUAAUUAUUUCCUAUCUAUCUAUCUAUCUAUCAAUUUGUCCAUCUAUCUACCUACCAAUAUAUCUAUCUAUCUCUCUCUAUAUAUAUAUAUAUAUAUAUAUAUAGUACAAUAAUUAAUAUAAUUUAUGUGUGUGUUUGUGGUUAUACUGAUAUACUAGUAUGUUAUAACAUAUUAAUGCUACAGAUACAAACGUCUCAUUACGGUUAUAAAUACAUAAUUACGUUUCUGGAUUUGCGCUCAUAUGUCACACAUAUGCAUAUUCAUAUUUCGUUGAAAAUAUCUUAUGAAUGUGCAGAGACGUGCGCGCAAGUGUUCUAGCGGAAUAUAUGUAUGUAUGUAUGUAUGAGUGUGUGUGUGUGUGUAUGAAUCUUUAUAUGUGCAUAUGCGUGCUAAAUCAUAUAUGUGUAUACGUGUGACUUUCAUUUUCUCUUUUCUGUCUACUUUCACUUCAGAACAGAACAAGCUGUUGCGGCCCACCAAGAGCUGUCGGGAAAACUGCUGAUACUAUCCGUUUAGCUGAUCUAUAACUACAAAUACGUUGUAUUCCAACAUUGAGUUUGGUCGGUACCGGUCCUCGCUUUUACAGCUUCUCCUCUCGAAUCAGAUGAUCGUCAAAAACAGCAAAAAGUCCUUCUAUUUUGUGGAGUAUUUCAAUAUCAAAUGAAAAAAGAAAAAAAAAUUAUUUAAUAUUUUUUUAAAAAAAAGUUUUUAAAAUUAUUCAAAAGAGAAGAAAAAAAUGUUUUAAACACUUUAAAAUUUCCAUGAACAGUGUAAAAGUGAAAGAUAUCUAAAAAAAAAAAAAAUACAUUUUGUCAAAUUUCCAUAGUCCACUUACUGGAAAUUUUGCAGUGAAAUUUUUGGGUAAGUCUCAUUUAUCCUUAUUCACACACACACACACACACACACACACACACACACUCACAUUUUACAUUUACCAUUUGCUAAAUUUCUCUUGUUUCUUGAAAGUAUUUUUAAAAUUUAUUUCUAUCAUUUUGCUGUAUUACGUGUAUAUGUAUGUAUAUAAGUAUGUGAAUAUAUAUAUAUGUGUGUGUGUGUGUGUGCGUGUGUGUAUUCGCUACUUUUUCUUGUUUCACUUAGCUUCUUCCUCUUCUUCGUAUGUUAAACCUUACAAUGGUGGGAGGGAGUUGCCAUGUCCCGUAUUCUGGAACUACCAACGUCCUGACAUCAGUUACCAAUCAUGUUCACUUCUAUUUUAGAAAAUGGGAGGAUUAAUGGGGGGAAAAAAAGAAAGAACACAGGAAUACCAGUACUUAGAGAAUUACUGAGUUCAAAUCCGGCCGGACCUACUUUAUAAUUUUUCCCUUCUAUUAUCGAUAAAAGUAACAAUAAUAUACUGGUAUCGGAUUAAACGGGUAUUUUUAUUUUUCGUUUUUUUUUUCUACCAGCGGAAGUUUCUUCUUUUUUUUUUCUUUUUUUUUUUUUUUGCUUUAAUUUGAAUAUGUUUUAGUCAGAGGAGGGAAAGUACCUUCCUUGCUCUGGAAGAACAGGAAAAUGCUAAAGGAAUCUUUGAGCUUGGGGUGGGGAGAAAUUUAUCGUCAUAUUGGUUAACUGGUCCAAAUGAUUGCAAUAAUAUAGCCUGGCCUUUAGGCCAGGCUGUGGGGUUUAAAUCGAGUAAAUGAUUUAGCCUGCCAGAGCCCUCCUUCGAGCAACAGACAUCGUAAUGGACAAUAAUAAUUAUCCUUUCUACUAGAGGCACAAGGCCUGAAAUUUUGGAGGAAAUGGGGCUAACAGGUACUUAUUUCAUUGAUCCCAAAAGGAUGAAGUGCAAAGUCGACCUCGGCGGAAUUUGAACUCACAACGUAAGGACGGGUGAAAUGCUGCUGAGUAUUUUGUCCAGCGUGCUAACGACUCUGCCAGCUCAUGGCUUCAAUAAUUUUUCUCUACAAUAGGAACAGGCCUGAAAUUUCGUGGGAGGGGACUAACCGAUCAUGUUAACUUUACUGCUCAACUAGUACUUAUUUUAUUGACCCCAAAAGGAUUAAAGGCCAAUUCGACUUCGGUGGAAUUUGAACUCAGAACGUAAAGACGAAUGAAAUGCUGCUAAGCAUUCCAUCCAGCGUGCGGAAUACUCUACCAGCUCGCCGCCUUAAUAAUAGCAAUUACUAUUAAGGCGGCGAGAUGGCAGAAUCGUUAACACGCCGGGCGAAAUGCUUAUCGGUAUUUCGUCUGUGUUUACGUUCUGGGUUCAAAUUCUGCCGAGGUCGACUUUGCCUUUUAUCCUUUCGGGGUCGAUAAAUUAAGUACCAGUUGUGUACUGGAGACGAUCUAAUCGACUGGCUCCCUCCCCAAAAAUUCCGGGCUUUGUGCCUAGAGUAGAAAAGAAUUGUUUUAAUAAUUCUUUAAAUAGGCGUAGAAGUGGCUGUGUGGUAACUAGCUUGCUUACGAACCACAUGGUUCCAGGUUCAGUCCCACUGCGUGGCACCUUGGGCAAGUGUCUUCUAGUAUAGCCUCGGGCCGACCAAAGCCUUGUGAGUGGAUUUGGUAGACGGUAACUGAAAGAAGCCCGUCGUAUAUAUGUAUAUGUAUGUAUAUAUGUAUGUGUGUGUAUAUGUGUGUGUGUCUUUGUUUGUGCCCCCAACAUCGCUUGACAACCGAUGCUGGUGUGUUUAUGUCUCCGUAACUUAGCAGUUCGGCAAAACAGACCGACAGAAUAAGUACUAGGCUUAUAAAGAAUAAGUCCUGGGGUCGAUUUGCUCGACUAAAGGCGGUGCUCCAGCAUGGCCGCAGUCAAAUGACUGAAGCAACU
rnacentral:lncRNA from 1 species